rnacentral:lncRNA from 1 species
CCCUUUUAUCACUGAGGUUCACAAUUUUGUAUCUUCUGAAUCUUAAGUUCCUUAAUCAGCACGAGACAAGGAGAUAAAAACACAUUGCUGCAAUCACGGGGGUGAGUCAGUAAUUAUCAUCGAAGAGUACAAUUGAAAACACAUUUUAUUUAAAUAUUUAUCUUAGAGAACUGCUGUUUGAGAGUUUACAGUGCUUCUAGCGGGUGCAGCGGUUUGGGAGCCAGUGACCUCUCAUUUCUGGCUCUUUUGAUGACUGUAGGAGCCUGGAAGUUUUCUUCCUGGACUCCAUCUUCCCCAGCGGUGCUAGUCGCAUGGUAAUGACUUGAUACAUUUUUAUGAAAUGAAUAAACUGUAAAAUUGGAACAGAACAGCCCAUGGAGAGAUGAAGGAUAUGAAUGAAAUGACAUUUAAAACAAUUUUGAGUCUUAAAGGUAGAGAGCAUCCUGGAUUCUCCCCACUUUGAGUGGAGUAUAAAUUUAAGAGCCUGUGAUUUUGUGCAGCAUAGGGAUUGUAAAUAUCCCCAAAUUACAUAAGUAUGCCUUUUUUUCUUUACAAUGUCAGAUAUAGAAUUUUGUGGGCUCUUCAAAGUAGAGGAUGCUCUAUACACAAAGGAGUUUGUUCUUUGAAUUAUCUUUUAUUUAUUGACAGCUGGGGUGAUGCAGGGCUGUUUCCUGUGUUAAGAGAGUGUCAGUUACUUAGCUAAUCAUAUUUAUCACCCAGGAUUCUUUAUUUGUUGAUAGCACUGGAGUAUAUUGGAGUUUUUGUGUGCUACGUGUAUAUUUCCCUAGCUGCAGUGAAUGUGGUUUUUAUAUUUAUGUGAAACUGCUAAUGUGUUGCUCGCUAGAUCAUGAGCAAUGGGCUUCUGACAGCUCUGUUCAUUAGUCAGCUUGGGGGAAAAAAUAAAAGAAAACACAUUGAUAUAGAAACAGAGUGUGAGCCAGCAAUUAUCAUCAGAGAGCACAAUUGAAGCCACAUUUUAUUUAAAUAUUUAUCUUGUGAAUUGAUUCAUACAAAACAAGAAGCUGUUUUUUAUUUAUGAAUGGCUUCACCGCCGAAAUUUGAAGAGCAGGAACGCUAUUCGAGUUGGGUUUGAUGCAGUCCACAGCUCAGAGUAAGGAGAGCUAAAUAACGUCAAAUUAUUCAUUGUGAUAUAUCAUUAAGAUUGUUAUGUGUGAAUGUGUAGAAAGAUGAUAACACCGUGCAGCUGUUCACUUCAGAAUCCCAACUUUGCAUAGUAAGAAGAAGAAGAAAAAAAGCUCAUGGAUAACUUUUAGUAUCAAUAAUAAUAGCAAGUGUUUACAGAUGCUAGAUAAUUUUUACUACCAAUAAUAAUAAUAGCAAAUGUUACAGAUGUUAACCACCUGCGAAUUGCUCUUCUAAAUGCAUUAUAUGUGUUAACCCUAUCAAGUACUCUUUUUACCCCCGCGUUACACAACAAGGUUAAAACAUUUAGCAAAGUUUGCAUUAGAGUGAAGUACCAUUUAUAGGACAGGAUUUCUGGGGGUGCCGCUGAAAGACCUGACUACUUGCCAGUUCCAGUUCCUUUCUGGCACCUCUUAAUGGUGAUUGGUCACUACAGCGUCAAUAUUAAUGGGGAGGAUUCUGGGUCCUGUGUCUUGCUAGGAUUUCCAGGGACGGCAAUUCCAGAAGUUUUCCGAUUAGUUGGCAUCCGUUUAUUUAGCUCACCUUUGUUUGACAGUUAGAUUGUGGACAGGAGGCGGGCGUGGUGGCUCACGCAUGUAAUCCCAGCACUUUGGAAGGCCGAGGCAGGCAAAUCACUGGAGGUCUGGAGUUCAAGACCAUUCUGGCCAACAUGGAGAAACCCCGUCUCUACUGCAAAUACAAAAAAUUAGUUGGGUGUGGUGGUGCAUGCCUGUAAUUCUAGUUACUCGGGAGGCUGAGGCAGGAGAAUAGCUUGAAUCCA